UACGAAGGGGGCUAGCGUCGUUCGGAGUUACUGGGCGUAAAGGGCGCGUAGGCGGCGCAUCAAGUCAGGCGUGAAAGCCCUGGGCUCAACCCGGGAAUUGCGCUUGAGACUGGUGUGCUUGAGUACGGGAGAGGAUAGUGGAAUUCCCAGUGUAGAGGUGAAAUUCGUAGAUAUUGGGAAGAACACCGGUGGCGAAGGCGGCUCUCUGGACCGUAACUGACGCUGAGGCGCGAAAGCGUGGGGAGCAAACAGG
rnacentral:rRNA from 1 species